rnacentral:rRNA from 1 species
AUUGAACGCUGGCGGCAUGCCUUACACAUGCAAGUCGAACGGCAGCACGGGUGCUUGCACCUGGUGGCGAGUGGCGAACGGGUGAGUAAUACAUCGGAACAUGUCCUGUAGUGGGGGAUAGCCCGGCGAAAGCCGGAUUAAUACCGCAUACGAUCUACGGAUGAAAGCGGGGGACCUUCGGGCCUCGCGCUAUAGGGUUGGCCGAUGGCUGAUUAGCUAGUUGGUGGGGUAAAGGCCUACCAAGGCGACGAUCAGUAGCUGGCCUGAGAGGACGACCAGCCACACUGGGACUGAGACACGGCCCAGACUCCUACGGGAGGCAGCAGUGGGGAAUUUUGGACAAUGGGCGAAAGCCUGAUCCAGCAAUGCCGCGUGUGUGAAGAAGGCCUUCGGGUUGUAAAGCACUUUUGUCCGGAAAGAAAUCCUUGGCCCUAAUACGGUCGGGGGAUGACGGUACCGGAAGAAUAAGCACCAGCUAACUACGUG